CAUGCAAGUCGAGCGCACCUUCGGGUGAGCGGCGGACGGGUUAGUAACGCGUGGGAACGUACCCUUUUCUAAGGAAUAGCCACUGGAAACGGUGAGUAAUACCUUAUACGCCCUUCGGGGGAAAGAUUUAUCGGAGAAGGAUCGGCCCGCGUUAGAUUAGAUAGUUGGUGGGGUAACGGCCUACCAAGUCUACGAUCUAUAGCUGGUUUUAGAGGAUGAUCAGCAACACUGGGACUGAGACACGGCCCAGACUCCUACGGGAGGCAGCAGUGGGGAAUCUUGGACAAUGGGCGCAAGCCUGAUCCAGCCAUGCCGCGUGAGUGAUGAAGGCCUUAGGGUCGUAAAGCUCUUUCGCUGGGGAUGAUAAUGACAGUACCCAGUAAAGAAACCCCGGCUAACUCCGUGCCAGCAGCCGCGGUAAUACGGAGGGGGUUAGCGUUGUUCGGAAUUACUGGGCGUAAAGCGCGCGUAGGCGGAUUGGAAAGUUGGGGGUGAAAUCCCGGGGCUCAACCUCGGAACUGCCUCCAAAACUAUCAGUCUAGAGUUCGAGAGAGGUGAGUGGAAUUCCGAGUGUAGAGGUGAAAUUCGUAGAUAUUCGGAGGAACACCAGUGGCGAAGGCGGCUCACUGGCUCGAUACUGACGCUGAGGUGCGAAAGUGUGGGGAGCAAACAGGAUUAGAUACCCUGGUAGUCCACACCGUAAACGAUGAAUGCCAGUCGUCAGCAAGCAUGCUUGUUGGUGACACACCUAACGGAUUAAGCAUUCCGCCUGGGGAGUACGGUCGCAAGAUUAAAACUCAAAGGAAUUGACGGGGGCCCGCACAAGCGGUGGAGCAUGUGGUUUAAUUUCGAAGCAACGCGCAGAACCUUUACCAACCCUUGACAUCCUGUGCUACAUCCAGAGAUGGAUGGUUCCCUUCCGGGGACGCAGUGACAGGUGCUGCAUGGCCUGUCGUCAGCCUCGUGUCGUGAGAUUGUUCGUUAAGUCCGGCAACGAGCGCAACCCACAUCUUCAGUUGCAGCAGUUCGCUGGACACUCUGGAGAACUGCCCGUGAUAGGCGGAGGAGGUGGUGAUGACGUCAAGUCCCUCAUGGCCCUUACGGGUUGGC
rnacentral:rRNA from 1 species